rnacentral:rRNA from 1 species
AUGGCUUCGUCACCUCGCUUAUCACAGGAUUCUACACCUUCAUCACCGGUGGCUUCCCCAUCUCCAUCACCUGAGUUUAUUCUAGUGAUUCCUCCUCGUAUUCUUCCAUCUUUUCCUCACUUCUAUACCCGCCGUUUGUAUGUUGUGGAUGUGUCUACUGAUGCGCCAUCUGCUUCUGAUGUGCCAUGUUCCUCGUCUCAUCCUACUUAUGGCUUGCGUCCUCGUCUGCUUAUGCCUGUUGACCGCCUUGGUUUUCCAAGCGCAGGCGUUGCUGUUCUUAAGUCGACUUCGUAUCGUGAUGCUGUUGUUCAUCCCAAAUGA